rnacentral:rRNA from 1 species
UACAGAGGUCUCGAGCGUUAGGCGGAAUCACUGGGCUUAAAGCGUGUGUAGGUGGAUCGUUAAGUACCUUGUGAAAUCCACGGCUUAACCGUGGAACUGCUUGGUAUACUGGCGGUCUUGAGCCACUUAGGGGCUACCGGAACAAAUGGUGGAGCGGUGAAAUGCGUAGAUAUCAUUUGGAACGCCAAUGGUGAAAACAGGUAGCUGGGAGUGUGCUGACACUGAGACACGAAAGCCAGGGGAGCAAACGGG